rnacentral:rRNA from 1 species
UACGUAGGGUGCGAGCGUUAAUCGGAAUUAUUGGGCGUAAAGCGUGCGCAGGCGGUUUUUUAAGUCAGAUGUGAAAUCCCCGGGCUUAACCUGGGAACUGCGUUUGAAACUAGAAGGCUAGAGUGUAGCAGAGGGGGGUGGAAUUCCACGUGUAGUGGUGAAAUGCGUAGAGAUGUGGAGGAACACCGAUGGCGAAGGCAGCCCCCUGGACUAACACUGACGCUCAGGCGCGAAAGCGUGGGGAGCAAACAGG